rnacentral:rRNA from 1 species
GGGAGGGGUGCAAGCGUUGUUCGGAAUUAUUGGGCGUAAAGCGCGUGUAGGCGGUUAUCUAAGUCUGAUGUGAAAGCCCGGGGCUUAACCCCGGAAGUGCAUUGGAUACUGGAUAACUAGAGGACGAGAGAGGGAAGUGGAAUUCCUGGUGUAGGGGUGAAAUCCGUAGAUAUCAGGAGGAACAUCGGAGGCGAAGGCGGCUUCCUGGCUCGUAACUGACGCUGAGACGCGAAAGCGUGGGUAGCAAACAGGAUUGAUACCCUGGUAGUCCACGCCCUAAACGAUGGAUACUAGUUAUCGGGAUACCUAAUAGUCUCGGUGGCGUAGCUAACGCAUUAAGUAUCCCGCCUGGGGAUUACGGUCGCAAGAUUA